rnacentral:ribozyme from 1 species
UUUUUUUUUUUUUUUUUUUUUUUUUUUUUUUUUUUUUUUUUCUUC